UACAAUGGAGAGUUUGAUCCUGGCUCAGGAUGAACGCUAGCGGCAGGCCUAACACAUGCAAGUCGAGGGGUAGAAUGUCUUCGGAUGUUUGAGACCGGCGCACGGGUGCGUAACGCGUAUGCAACCUACCUCUUACUGGGGAAUAGCCCGGAGAAAUUCGGAUUAAUGCCCCAUAUGCUCGUACGACCUCAUGGUCGAGCGAGGAAAGCUCCGGCGGUAAGAGAUGGGCAUGCGUCCUAUUAGCUUGUUGGUGAGGUAACGGCUCACCAAGGCUACGAUAGGUAGGGGGCCUGAGAGGGUGACCCCCCACACUGGUACUGAGACACGGACCAGACUCCUACGGGAGGCAGCAGUGAGGAAUAUUGGGCAAUGGAGGAAACUCUGACCCAGCCAUGCCGCGUGCAGGAAGACGGCCCUAUGGGUUGUAAACUGCUUUUGUACGAGAAUAAACCUUUCCACGUGUGGAAAGCUGAAGGUACCGUACGAAUAAGGAUCGGCUAACUCCGUGCCAGCAGCCGCGGUAAUACGGAGGAUCCAAGCGUUAUCCGGAUUUAUUGGGUUUAAAGGGUCCGUAGGCGGGUCUUUAAGUCAGUGGUGAAAGCCUGCAGCUUAACUGUAGAAUUGCCAUUGAUACUGGAGACCUUGAGUGUAGUAGAAGUAGGCGGAAUAAGGCAUGUAGCGGUGAAAUGCAUAGAUAUGCCUUAGAACACCGAUUGCGAAGGCAGCUUACUAUGUUACAACUGACGCUGAGGGACGAAAGCGUGGGGAGCGAACAGGAUUAGAUACCCUGGUAGUCCACGCCGUAAACGAUGAUUACUCGCUGUUAGCGAUAUACAGUUAGCGGCCAAGCGAAAGCAUUAAGUAAUCCACCUGGGGAGUACGCCGGCAACGGUGAAACUCAAAGGAAUUGACGGGGGCCCGCACAAGCGGUGGAGCAUGUGGUUUAAUUCGAUGA
rnacentral:rRNA from 1 species